UUUUGUUCGACGGCACUGCUGCCGUCCAUGUCGAUCCCACUACCACAUGUGCGAAAACGAAACCUCCGUAGAAAUAAAGCGAAACAGAACUGCAGU
rnacentral:lncRNA from 1 species